UUGUUGGCUUCAAUUAUUUUAUUAUCAUUAGAAACUUUGCCACGAAGCAAUCCAAUUGAUUUAUCAAUUUAUUUAUUUAUUAUUGAACUUUAAAAUGUACAAAGUUUGUAUUUUAUUUUUGAUUGUAAUUUUUGCAAUAAUGGUAAUUGCUGAAGAAUGUAUUCCUUCUAAUCAGCAGUGCUCAACAAUUUCUCCACCAUGUUGCAGCGGAAAUUGCGUUCUUCAAGGCAAACAUUUCAGUAUUUGCGCUUAACAAUUUAUUCCUUCAAAAAUUAUGUAACUAAACAUAAAAAAUACCUUGCAAUAAAUAAAUAAAUAAAUAAAAAAUAAAACUUUCAAAAUUUAAUUUUCUUCUUGUCCAAUAAUAAUUACACAAAAAAAAAAAUAUAAUUUUAAUUUCAGCUAAUUUGUUAAAAGGGUAACAGUUCAAAGUGAUAAUUAAGUUUGUGAUAGUCUGUAAUUGAUAAUACUUGAUAUAAAUACAAGUAAAAUUAUAAAAUAAUAUUAUUUUGUACUCCAAAGUCGCAGAAUAAACUAAGUGGAAUAUUUCUCCAAUAUUUUUCAAUAUUAUAAUUUUUUUUCUCUAUUUUUUAUUAAGAAAAAUUUAAAAACAUGUUCAAAAUUCUCUUGUGCGUAUUAUUAAUUUCACUGAUUUUUAUCGUGACAUUUACUGAUGCAGAAUGCUCAAAAAAGGAUCAAGAUUGUGCGAUGCUUAGACCAGCGUGCUGCAGCGGAAUUUGUAUCCCUACAGGAAAAUCACUUGGAAAAUGUGCGUAAUUUAAA